UACAGAGGGGGCAAGCGUUGUUCGGAAUUACUGGGCGUAAAGGGCGCGUAGGCGGCCUGUUAAGUCGAACGUGAAAUCCCUGGGCUCAACCCAGGAACUGCGUCCGAUACUGGCAGGCUUGAAUUCGGGAGAGGGAUGCGGAAUUCCAGGUGUAGCGGUGAAAUGCGUAGAUAUCUGGAGGAACACCGGUGGCGAAGGCGGCAUCCUGGACCGAGAUUGACGCUGAGGCGCGAAAGCCAGGGGAGCAAAGCGGG
rnacentral:rRNA from 1 species